UGCGGUUAAAAUGCUCGUAGUUUAAUUUCUGCUGAGGGUAAUCGGUCCACCCACUGGGUGAGUAAUUGUUUGCCCUUUGCAUUUUGUGAACAAUGCAUCUGCACUUGAUUGUGCUGUGUGUCCUGUUCAUGCAAUUUACUUUGAGGAAAUUAGAGUGUUUCGAGCAUGCAUAUGCACCGAGCACAUUAGCAUGGAAUAAUUUACACUGAUCGUCGCUGUAUUUGUUGGUUUUUAGGGCUUCGAUAAUGACUGAUAGGGAUAAUUGGUGGUAUUCGCAUUUAAUAGUCAGAGGUGAAAUUCUUGGAUUUGUUAAAGACGAACUGCUGCGAAAGCAUUUGCCAACUAUGUUUUCAUUGAUCAAGAACUAAAGUUAGGGGAUCGAAGACGAUCAGAUACCGUCCUAGUCCUAACAAUAAACAAUGCCGACUAGGAAUUGAAGGUUGUCAAUUGCAUGACUCCUCCAGCAUCUUAUGACAAAUCAAAAGUAUUUGGGUUCCGGGGGGAGUAUGGUCGCAAAGCUGAAACU
rnacentral:rRNA from 1 species